AAAGCCCCAACUUCGAUCAAAUCGAUUAAAGCCCAAAUAAAACCUAGGUCUCAAAAUCAAAAACAAUGUACAGAUAUUAUCUCAUCGUUCUCACUUUUGAUCCAUUUGAAAUUGAUUAGCAUGCAGUAGACCAACUGAAGGUAAUGUAUAGUAAAUAGCACUGAGAUGGCAAGCGAUACUUUGAAGAUCAAUCAUUGAAUUUCAAUUCCAGCUAUGAGGGCAUAACUGCAACCUGAGAAAUCCGAAGAUCAAUCUCAUCAAAUUUACUUUUACAAUUGUUGCUGGACAACGUGGUCUUCCCUUUUUUUUGUUUUUUCCAAUCUAAUAAAAGCUUUAAGCUCUAUAUCUCAUCAAAUCGAU
rnacentral:lncRNA from 1 species